rnacentral:rRNA from 1 species
UACGUAGGGACCAAGCGUUGUUCGGAUUUACUGGGCGUAAAGGGCGCGUAGGCGGCGCGGUAAGUCACUUGUGAAAUCUCUGAGCUUAACUCAGAACGGCCAAGUGAUACUGCAGUGCUAGAGUGUGGAAGGGGCAAUCGGAAUUCUUGGUGUAGCGGUGAAGUGCGUAGAUAUCAAGAGGAACACCUGAGGUGAAGACGGGUUGCUGGGCCAACACUGACGCUGAGGCGCGAAAGCCAGGGGAGCAAACGGG